rnacentral:rRNA from 1 species
AACGAACGCUGGCGGCAUGCCUAACACAUGCAAGUCGAACGAGACCUUCGGGUCUAGUGGCGCACGGGUGCGUAACGCGUGGGAACCUGCCCUUAGGUUCGGAAUAACUCCCCGAAAGGGGUGCUAAUACCGGAUAAUGUCUUCGGACCAAAGAUUUAUCGCCUUUGGAUGGGCCCGCGUUGGAUUAGCUAGUUAGUAGGGUAAAAGCCUACCAAGGCGACGAUCCAUAGCUGGUCUGAGAGGAUGAUCAGCCACACUGGGACUGAGACACGGCCCAGACUCCUACGGGAGGCAGCAGUGGGGAAUAGUGGACAAUGGGCGAAAGCCUGAUCCAGCAAUGCCGCGUGAGUGAUGAAGGCCUUAGGGUUGUAAAGCUCUUUUACCCGGGAUGAUAAUGACAGUACCGGGAGAAUAAGCUCCGGCUAACUCCGUG